rnacentral:rRNA from 1 species
AAGGUGUAAGUGCCGCGAGGUAUUUAGCUGAUUAGUACUAAUAAUUCGAGGACUUAGAUUU